rnacentral:rRNA from 1 species
UACGAAGGGGGCUAGCGUUGCUCGGAAUCACUGGGCGUAAAGCGCACGUAGGCGGAUUGUUAAGUCAGGGGUGAAAUCCUGGAGCUCAACUCCAGAACUGCCUUUGAUACUGACGAUCUCGAGUCCGGGAGAGGUGAGUGGAACUGCGAGUGUAGAGGUGAAAUGCGCAGAUAUCAGGAAGAACACCCGUGGCUAAGGCGGCUCUCUAGUACGGUACUGACGCUGAGACGCGAAAGCGUGGGGAGCGAACAGG